AUUUUGGACAAUGGGGGAAACCCUGAUCCAGCCAUCCCGCGUGUACGAUGAAGGCNUUNNGGUUGNANAGCAAUUUUGGCAGANNNNNAAAGGUAUCUCNUAAUACGAGAUACUGCUGACGGUAUCUGUAGAAUAAGUACCGGCGAACUACGUGCCAGCAGCCGUGGUAAUACGUAGGGUGAAAGCGUUAAUCGGAAUUACUGGGCGUAAAGCGUGUGUAGGCGGUUCGGAAAGAAAGAUGUGAAAUCCCAGGGCUCAACCUUGGAACUGCAUUUUUAACUGCCGAGCUAGAGUAUGUCAGAGGGGGGUAGAAUUCCACGUGUAGCAGUGAAAUGCGUAGAUAUGUGGAGGAAUACCGAUGGCGAAGGCAGCCCCCUGGGAUAAUACUGACGCUCAGACACGAAAGCGUGGGGAGCAAACA
rnacentral:rRNA from 1 species